GUCAGAGUCAGAGACAAAGUUCAGGAUUUAUAUUCUUAUCUUAUAAAUUUAUUUGUUGUUAUAUUUCAUGCUGUUAAGCUGAUUUGAAGCCAGAUCCAGCCAUCAUAACCACACAAUAUGCAAGUUUUUCUGGUUUUUCUUGUGCAGUGUUAACCUGUCAUCAAUCUCAGGAUCAUCGCUUGGAUGAAAAGCAUCCCAUUACAUUGGAAUGCAAUCGAAUACAUUGUCAAUCGAGUUAUGGAUAUCUCUUUUUCUCCUUUCUCUAAAUGUCCUCGUGUACGCCCGUGUCGAUGUGGGUGUAUUCACGAGGACACCCUUUUUACCCUAUACCGUCUGGUGGAAUUUAACUCUUCAGCGGAUGGAUGGAGCAACUGUAGAUGGCUGGCUGUAUUUCCCAGGCAUAAAGCAGACGGAUGUUCCACCACCGAAUAGCGGAGCUCGUGACAGUCCAUACGGGUGGGCAAUUCCACCUACAUAAACCAGUUGGUUUCUUUAUGUCGAGGGCGAUCGGUUGACAGUUAAGGGGAAAGAUGAUGGUAGUACCGUAUAUUUACCAAGGUAAAAUCAUUGGGCUGCUGGCCUCGUUUUUAUCAGCUCUUGCAAACAGCACGCCAUGCAGAUUGUCACUCUUUGCUGUUCUUCGUCGUUGAGAUGAAGACAUGAAGUGAAAGGCAC